AAUGUAAAGGAUCAGUUUUAUUUCAAAUCAAAUUUUAUAAAGUAUAAAAAUAAUGGGCGCGUUCAGUAGACCGAGCGCAUCAGUGAGCGCUCAGUGAUUGAUUCUUGCCUUUAGUUCUUUGUUAGAUUUAGAAGCAGAAACCAAUUAUAGUAAAGGCCAUAAUUGCACGUACAUUUCUGUAAUCGUUACCGUCAUAGAUCUUAUAUACCUGGAUACGCCUUCCUCAUUAGAGAAAAAGAGAAAACGGAAGUCUAUAUAUACUUCUAUCCUUUAGAGGACAUGUCAAAACGCAUGCGUAAAAUGACGUAUUUAAUAUGGCAGACAAUUUGAACACCUGCAUACAUCACAUCUUUGAGUAUACAAUAUACUCAAAGCGUCACAUGCAGUCACAAUUCACCUAGUAUAAUUUUAUAACAACAAUGGGCAAGAGAUGCCAUAUACUCGCGAAUAAUUUGUUCCAAUUAUACCAUUGCAUUGUGCCUAAACAUAUAUAACUUCUUGCGCAUGACGCAUAUAUGACGUAGUCUUUCCUCUUGAAGGAUAGAAGACAAGCUAUCUCAACUCGGGACCAUAUUUUUAUUCAGUUCAGAAGGCGUAUCCAGG